UGCAAGUCGAGCGGGGGAAGUUGCUUCGGUAACUGACCUAGCGGCGGACGGGUGAGUAAUACUUAGGAAUCUGCCUAUUAGUGGGGGACAACGUUUCGAAAGGAACGCUAAUACCGCAUACGUCCUACGGGAGAAAGCAGGGGAUCACUUGUGACCUUGCGCUAAUAGAUGAGCCUAAGUCGGAUUAGCUAGUUGGUGGGGUAAAGGCCUACCAAGGCGACGAUCUGUAGCGGGUCUGAGAGGAUGAUCCGCCACACUGGGACUGAGACACGGCCCAGACUCCUACGGGAGGCAGCAGUGGGGAAUAUUGGACAAUGGGGGGAACCCUGAUCCAGCCAUGCCGCGUGUGUGAAGAAGGCCUUAUGGUUGUAAAGCACUUUAAGCGAGGAGGAGGAGCUCUUGGUUAAUACCCAAGAUGCUUGGACGUUACUCGCAGAAUAAGCACCGGCUAACUCUGUGCCAGCAGCCGCGGUAAUACAGAGGGUGCGAGCGUUAAUCGGAUUUACUGGGCGUAAAGCGUGCGUAGGCGGCUUUUUAAGUCGGAUGUGAAAUCCCCGAGCUUAACUUGGGAAUUGCAUUCGAUACUGGGAAGCUAGAGUAUGGGAGAGGAUGGUAGAAUUCCAGGUGUAGCGGUGAAAUGCGUAGAGAUCUGGAGGAAUACCGAUGGCGAAGGCAGCCAUCUGGCCUAAUACUGACGCUGAGGUACGAAAGCAUGGGGAGCAAACAGGAUUAGAUACCCUGGUAGUCCAUGCCGUAAACGAUGUCUACUAGCCGUUGGGG
rnacentral:rRNA from 3 species